GGCAGAGCAAGGAGGAUGAGAACAGACAAAGGGGUCCUGGAAAUGCAGAUGUGGCAAGAAUGCAUCAGCUUUUAAACCCGCCCAGCGCUGCGCUCUCUAAGCGCCUUCUCCGCUGCUUGCAGUCGUGGCUGCCUCUGCAGAUGGAGACCUCAGGAGUCUGUCUGGAUCACCUUUGGCCCCCUCCGUCCAUCCCUGGAAGAGCUGCUUUAAUGGGAACAG